rnacentral:rRNA from 1 species
AGCUUGCUGGGUGGAUUAGUGGCGAACGGGUGAGUAACACGUGAGUAACCUGCCCUUGACUCUGGGAUAAGCGUUGGAAACGACGUCUAAUACCGGAUACGAGCUUCCACCGCAUGGUGAGUUGCUGGAAAGAAUUUUGGUCAAGGAUGGACUCGCGGCCUAUCAGCUUGUUGGUGAGGUAAUGGCUCACCAAGGCGACGACGGGUAGCCGGCCUGAGAGGGUGACCGGCCACACUGGGACUGAGACACGGCCCAGACUCCUACGGGAGGCAGCAGUGGGGAAUAUUGCACAAUGGGCGAAAGCCUGAUGCAGCAACGCCGCGUGAGGGACGACGGCCUUCGGGUUGUAAACCUCUUUUAGCAGGGAAGAAGCGAAAGUGACGGUACCUGCAGAAAAAGCACCGGCUAACUACGUGCC